UACGUAGGGUGCAAGCGUUAAUCGGAAUUACUGGGCGUAAAGCGUGCGCAGGCGGUUUGGUAAGACAGAUGUGAAAUCCCCGGGCUUAACCUGGGAAUGGCAUUUGUGACUGCCCGGCUAGAGUGUGUCAGAGGGGGGUAGAAUUCCACGUGUAGCAGUGAAAUGCGUAGAUAUGUGGAGGAAUACCGAUGGCGAAGGCAGCCCCCUGGGAUAACACUGACGCUCAUGCACGAAAGCGUGGGGAGCAAACAGG
rnacentral:rRNA from 1 species